rnacentral:tRNA from 1 species
GGGGUCGUAGCUCAGCUGGGAGAGCACCUGCCUUGCACGCAGGGGGUCGGGAGUUCGAAUCUCCCCGGCUCCA